rnacentral:rRNA from 1 species
GGUGAGUAAUGCUUAGGAAUCUGCCUAUUAGUGGGGGACAACAUUCCGAAAGGAAUGCUAAUACCGCAUACGCCCUACGGGGGAAAGCAGGGGAUCUUCGGACCUUGCGCUAAUAGAUGAGCCUAAGUCAGAUUAGCUAGUUGGUGGGGUAAAGGCCUACCAAGGCGACGAUCUGUAGCGGGUCUGAGAGGAUGAUCCGCCACACUGGGACUGAGACACGGCCCAGACUCCUACGGGAGGCAGCAGUGGGGAAUAUUGGACAAUGGGCGCAAGCCUGAUCCAGCCAUGCCGCGUGUGUGAAGAAGGCCUUUUGGUUGUAAAGCACUUUAAGCGAGGAGGAGGCUACUUGGAUUAAUACUCUAGGAUAGUGGACGUUACUCGCAGAAUAAGCACCGGCUAACUCUGUGCCAGCAGCCGCGGUAAUACAGAGGGUGCGAGCGUUAAUCGGAUUUACUGGGCGUAAAGCGUGCGUAGGCGGCUUUUUAAGUCGGAUGUGAAAUCCCUGAGCUUAACUUAGGAAUUGCAUUCGAUACUGGGAAGCUAGAGUAUGGGAGAGGAUGGUAGAAUUCCAGGUGUAGCGGUGAAAUGCGUAGAGAUCUGGAGGAAUACCGAUGGCGAAGGCAGCCAUCUGGCCUAAUACUGACGCUGAGGUACGAAAGCAUGGGGAGCAAACAGGAUUAGAUACCCUGGUAGUCCAUGCCGUAAACGAUGUCUACUAGCCGUUGGGGCCUUUGAGGCUUUAGUGGCGCAGCUAACGCGAUAAGUAGACCGCCUGGGGAGUACGGUCGCAAGACUAAAACUCAAAUGAAUUGACGGGGGCCCGCACAAGCGGUGGAGCAUGUGGUUUAAUUCGAUGCAACGCGAAGAACCUUACCUGGUCUUGACAUAGUAAGAACUUUCCAGAGAUGGAUUGGUGCCUUCGGGAACUUACAUACAGGUGCUGCAUGGCUGUCGUCAGCUCGUGUCGUGAGAUGUUGGGUUAAGUCCCGCAACGAGCGCAACCCUUUUCCUUAUUUGCCAGCGGGUUAAGCCGGGAACUUUAAGGAUACUGCCAGUGACAAACUGGAGGAAGGCGGGGACGACGUCAAGUCAUCAUGGCCCUUACGACCAGGGCUACACACGUGCUACAAUGGUCGGUACAAAGGGUUGCUACCUAGCGAUAGGAUGCUAAUCUCAAAAAGCCGAUCGUAGUCCGGAUUGGAGUCU